rnacentral:rRNA from 2 species
UGGGGAAUAUUGGACAAUGGGGGCAACCCCGAUCCAGCAAUGCCGCGUGUGCGAGGAAGGCCUCAGGGUUGUAAAGCACUUUCGGCCGCGACGACGAUGACGGUAGCGGCGGAAGAAGCCCCGGCCAACUCCGUGCCAGCAGCCGCGGUAAUACGGAGGGGGCGAGCGUUGUUCGGAAUCACUGGGCGUAAAGGGCGCGCAGGCGGCCCGGUCAGUCGGGCGUGAAAGCCCGGGGCUCAACCCCGGAAUUGCGCACGAAACCGCCGGGCUCGAGACCGGGAGAGGGCAGUGGAAUUCCCAGUGUAGAGGUGAAAUUCGUAGAUAUUGGGAAGAACACCGGUGGCGAAGGCGGCUGCCUGGCCCGGUUCUGACGCUGAGGCGCGAAAGCGUGGGGAGCGAACAGG